CGGUACCUGCAGAAGAAGCCCCGGCUAACUACGUGCCAGCAGCCGCGGUAACACGUAGGGGGCAAGCGUUGUCCGGAUUUAUUGGGCGUAAAAGAGCUCGUAGGUGGCUAAGUAAGUCGGGUGUCAAAUCCCCAGGCUCAACCUGGGUCUCCACCCGAUACUGCUUUGGCUAGAGUCCGGUAGGGGAGCGUGGAAUUCCUGGUGUAGCGGUGAAAUGCGCAGAUAUCAGGAGGAACACCAGCGGCGAAGGCGGCGCUCUGGGCCGGUACUGACACUGAGGAGCGAAAGCGUGGGUAGCAAACAGGAUUAGAUACCCUGGUAGUCCACGCCGUAAACGUUGGGCACUAGGUGUGGGGUCUAUUCAACGGACUCCGUGCCGUCGCUAACGCAUUAAGUGCCCCGCCUGGGGAGUACGGCCGCAAGGCUAAAACUCAAAGGAAUUGACGGGGG
rnacentral:rRNA from 1 species